AUUGAACGCUGGCGGCAGGCCUAACACAUGCAAGUCGAACGGUAGCACAGAGAGCUUGCUCUCGGGUGACGAGUGGCGGACGGGUGAGUAAUGUCUGGGAAACUGCCCGAUGGAGGGGGAUAACUACUGGAAACGGUAGCUAAUACCGCAUAACGUCGCAAGACCAAAGUGGGGGACCUUCGGGCCUCACACCAUCGGAUGUGCCCAGAUGGGAUUAGCUAGUAGGUGGGGUAAUGGCUCACCUAGGCGACGAUCCCUAGCUGGUCUGAGAGGAUGACCAGCCACACUGGAACUGAGCCACGGUCCAGACUCCGACGGGAGGAAGCAGUGGGGAAUAUUGCACAAUGGGCGCAAGCCUGAUGCAGCCAUGCCGCGUGUAUGAAGAAGGCCUUCGGGUUGUAAAGUACUUUCAGCGGGGAGGAAGGCGGUGAAGUUAAUAACUUCACCGAUUGACGUUACCCGCAGAAGAAGCACCGGCUAACUCCGUGCCAGCAGCCGCGGUAA
rnacentral:rRNA from 1 species